UCAAAUGAUUUACUUAAACUUUACUAAAUUAUUACCAAUACACUGAGGGCCUGUAUAUUUUGAUGAUUUUGACUUUUGUCAUUCAAGAGUUAUUGGACUUUAUUUUUCAAAAAAGUGGAAUGGCAUGUCUCAAGAUUACUCAACUAACUUUAAACUUUACUACCAAAUUAUUAGGAAAGAUAUUAUGAUUUGUAAAUGUAAGCAUAAUAGAUGUGGAAAUAUAUGUCACACAAUAACUGCAAUAUUCCUUAAACAUUUUACUUAACCAGAUUAUUACCAUUGAUAGUCAAAAGGGUCUGUAUAUAAACUCAGAUAAAAAUUAUUUUCAUCUGACAAAAGAACUAUGAAACUAAUUCCAUGUUUGUUCACCUUUUGACAUCUGUCAGUCUCAUAACUUAAAAUCAUUUGUUGAAACCACUAGUCCCUAUUGGUUAUAAGUUGACAAGACAAUGUUCUAUUCAACAGUCAUAUUGAAUAAAAUGAUAAUAAAAUAAAUGUUACAUUGUAUAUGUUAUUUGUUUAUUACUCUUCAGUAUGCUACCUUAACGUAAGAGUACUGAUAAAAGUGUCUAAAGGUGUCAACAAUGUUUACUGGUAGGUCAAUGAUAUUUGGUAUGGAGUAGUUGUAGCAUUGGCACAUCUCAUUUCAACAAAGGUGAUUUUGUCCUUCAUUGACUUUGAAUGUUUAGCAUAGGUGGGAGAUAUAAGCGUCAAUAGUUUAUUAUAUGAUAUAUGUCAGAUUUCCUAAUUAUCAAUAUAUAUCAAAGAAUACCACUCAAGUUAUAGACCUUCAAAUGUAUGUGUUGAGAUGUUAUAUGUUCCUUGUUGAAGAUCUUCCAUUGUAAGUGUUAGAAAAUUUUAAGUUCAUUAAAGGUCAACAAAAAUGCAAAUAUGACUGAAUGCAUCAGUGACCAUGUGAGUUGAGAUUCUUACCUGAGUUUAUGCCCAACAACUUUUUAUUAGCAUUUUUACAAUUUAUCUUUAAAAAACUGUAAUGCUAUGGAUUCCUAAUUAUUCAUGGGAUUCCAAUUUAUAUGUAUGUGGCUUUUAUGGGUAUUUAAAAGGUUAACUGUCAAUUAUUUUGUUCCAAGAAAGUUCAUUUUUAUAAGCUGGUAUGAAGACCAUGCCAUAACCAGGAUAUCAAAUAUCCAUGAGAAUAAAUAAAUCCACUGCACACAGAAAUUUAUACACAAUGAAAAGGAUCAGCAGUUACUAUAAAAGAUCUACAAAAAAUGCUAUACUUCAAUCAUCAAUUGUCCCAGGUUAGGGGGAGGGUUGGGA
rnacentral:lncRNA from 1 species